AAAAUGUUGCCAGGUACGUGUCGGAUCCACCUAAAGCAGUGCAUUUUUGGAGGAUCCGCCACGGGUGCGGCAACAUUUUGGAGAGUUCGCGCAACAUAGCUGAGAGAUUAGAUCCUAUCACACACAAACAGAAAAAAUAUUGCUUUAACAACACUUUCAGUAACUUAAAGAACUAUUCGAAACUACAAGUGGUUGGUAGACUGAGGUAUCUCUCCAGCAUCACGACUAUAGCUCUUUCCAGAAUAUGAACUUCACCUUUAUCAAAGGCACUAUAAGAUACUAUAAUUCACGGCUACCUUUUAUAGACGGGGUCUCAAAUAUGAUCUCAAUAGAAACAGAGUUCUAUCUGGUAUAAGUUAGUCUGAUACUUGGCUAGAAUUUAAUUGAACUUAUCACUUCUUUGGCUAGUCAACUUACUUCUCGUGAACAUAGCUAUCUAUCUGUGCAUUUGAUAAUUUAAGGUGUUAUCUGUUCAUUUUCCUUUUAACGUGUUCAUUUUCUUCUUUAGUUGUUUAUUCUUUGUUACUAAACUGGCAUAAAUUUCUUAUUUUAACAGAUCAAAAAUUUGAAGUGUGAAGAACCUAUCCUUGAAGAAAGUAUAGAGCAAGUUAAAGUACAAGAGGUUUUUGGUUCGUCAACGAUGGUUUAAAGGCGUUGUCUUAUGUACAUAUAUAUGCUUCAAUUUUACUUUUUUUCUUUUUAGGAAUUAUUAAAAAUGAUGAUUAACUCAUCUCACUUUAUGCUUCC
rnacentral:lncRNA from 1 species